rnacentral:rRNA from 1 species
AUUGAACGCUGGCGGCAGGCCUAACACAUGCAAGUCGAGCGAGCGGCGGACGGGGGAGUAAUGUCUGGGAAACUGCCUGAUGGAGGGGGAUAACUACUGGAAACGGUAGCUAAUACCGCAUACCAUCAGAUGUGCCCAUAUGGGAUUAGCUAGUAGGUGGGGUAACGGCUCACCUAGGCGACGAUCCCUAGCUGGUCUGAGAGGGUGACAAGCCACACUGGAACGGAGACACGGUCCGAACUCCUACGGGAGGCAGAAGUGGGGACUAUUGCACAAUGGGCGCAAGCCUGAUGCAGCAAUGCCGCGUGUGUGAAGAAGGCCUUCGUGUUGUAAGGCACUUUCAGCGGGGAGGCGUUACCCGCAGAAGAAGCACCGGCUAACUCCGUGCCAGCCGCCGCGGUAAUUC